UACGGGGGGGGCAAGCGUUGUUCGGAAUUACUGGGCGUAAAGCGUGCGUAGGUGGUUUGUUAAGUCUGAUGUGAAAGCCCUGGGCUCAACCUGGGAAUGGCAUUGGAUACUGGCGAGCUAGAGUGCGGUAGAGGAUGGCGGAAUUCCCGGUGUAGCAGUGAAAUGCGUAGAGAUCGGGAGGAACAUCUGUGGCGAAGGCGGCCAUCUGGACCAGCACUGACACUGAGGCACGAAAGCGUGGGGAGCAAACAGG
rnacentral:rRNA from 1 species